rnacentral:other from 1 species
CUCCCCCUGCACUGUUCGACAGUCUCCAUUUUUUAACCCACAUUUCUUGAACGGGAUCCCGAAAACCUUCGCACGACAAGCGCAGGCCUCCCGCCCUCAAAAGCGGAAGUUGGAAGCGCAGCGGCGUGCGAUAGGGAACCCACCUGCCAAUCGUGCAGGUUACUAAUCUGGGGGCAUCGGCAGCUGCGGGGUUUUU